rnacentral:Y_RNA from 1 species
GGCAGGUCUGAAGGUGGGGAGUUCUCUCAACUGAUUGCUCACAGUCAGUUAAAGAUAGAUCUCCAUCUUCUAAACUUUCCCUCCCUGCUUCUAACUACUGCCUUUGACUAGUCUAGA